rnacentral:RNase_P_RNA from 1 species
UGGGGCCUGAUUGUCGCUCCGAGUUCUUUGAUCCCAAGGUGCGGGUAAUGCCGCGCCGGUUAGAAACUUGGAGAGGAAAGUCCGGACACCACCGGGCAGGAUGCCGUGCGAGGGCGACCAAGCACGGGCGGCGCGCGUCAAGGCGCGUUGACGGACAGUGUCACAGAGAACAAACCGCCCGGCGGGCAACCGUCAGGUAAGGGUGAAAAGGUGGGGUAAGAGCCCACCGCGCCGCUGGUGACAGCGGUGGCACGAAAAACCCCAUCCGGUGCAAGGCAAAAUAGGAGACUGGGCGGCCCGUCCAUUAGUCUCGGGUAUGCCGCAUCCGCCUACGCUCCACGCGAGUGGAGCUACGGCGCGACAAGUUCGCCGCGAGGCGGGCGUUGAGAGAAAUGACAGUCGAACCCCGACUUGGUCGGGGGGAACAGAAUCCGGCUUACCGGCCCCAAAAC